AUUGAACGCUGGCGGCAUGCUUUACACAUGCCAGUCGAACGGCAGCGCGGGCUUCGGCCUGGCGGCGAGUGGCGAACGGGUGAGUAAUACAUCGGAACGUGCCCAGUAGUGGGGGAUAGCUCGGCGAAAGCCGGAUUAAUACCGCAUACGACCUGAGGGUGAAAGCGGGGGAUCUUCGGACCUCGCGCUAUUGGAGCGUCCGAUGGCAGAUUAGCUAGUUGGUGGGGUAAAGGCCUACCAAGGCGACGAUCUGUAGCUGGUCUGAGAGGACGACCAGCCACACUGGGACUGAGACACGGCCCAGACUCCUACGGGAGGCAGCAGUGGGGAAUUUUGGACAAUGGGCGAAAGCCUGAUCCAGCAAUGCCGCGUGCGUGAUGAAGGCCUUCGGGUUGUAAAGCACUUUUGGCGGGAACGAAAAGGACUGUGCCAAUACCACGGUUCGAUGACGGUACCCGCAGAAUAAGCACCGGCUAACUACGUG
rnacentral:rRNA from 1 species